GCUGAGCUGUUCGCGCCAGAAACUACUUGGCGCGGAGCGCCGAAAAUUCCGGUUACCAGGAGCCACACCCCCUAAUUAAUGACUCAUUGCGCAUGUGCAAGAAAUAGCCACACCUUGCUUCAAUUAAUAAUACUGCUAAAGCUAGCUAGCUAGCUAGCCGUAGCUAGCUAGCUUAGUUCUGUUGCACUAAAGAAUCAAAGUUACUAGUAUAGUAUAGCUAGCUCUUGGACAUGCUGUUUGUCUGCCACUAAUCUAUACCAGUAAUUCCCUGGCUGAAGACUCAUCAGAGAAGGAGCAAUGGCUAUUAUCCAUACAACAGUGCUCCUCUUGGCUAUACUAACGGACGAGACUGGACAGUGUGAGAACUGGAGUGUAUAUCUGCUCGUUCGAGCGUUGUUUAGAGGCAUCAAGAGAAUCUACGUUUCUCAAGCAAGAUUUAACUGAGUUAUAAACAGGGGCCUAAAUCAGAGAGGUCCAGCAGCCUGCUAAACCUUCUUGAAAAGAAAUUUGGGGCAUUCAAUCAUCCUGAAGUUUCCCUGGGUCACUAUAAUCGUGCUGCAGCACAACCGGUAACUCCCCUUGUGAAGCAUCUUCCUAUUAUGUGCAUCUUUUUGUAUACUCCACUCAAGUGAAAUUUCUACGUAUAAAUUUCAAUUA